rnacentral:rRNA from 1 species
UACGUAGGGAGCAAGCGUUGUCCGGAAUCAUUGGGCGUAAAGCGCGCGUAGGUGGCCAUGUAAGUCCGCUGUGAAAGUCAAAGGCUCAACCUUUGAAAGCCGGUGGAUACUGCAUGGCUAGAGUACGGAAGAGGCGAGUGGAAUUCCUGGUGUAGCGGUGGAAUGCGCAGAUAUCAGGAGGAACACCAAUAGCGAAGGCAGCUCGCUGGGACGUUACUGACGCUGAGACGCGAAAGCGUGGGGAGCAAACAGG